rnacentral:tRNA from 1 species
GGCCCCCUCGUCUAUCGGUUAGGACAUGAGAUUCUCAAUCUUAAAAGAGGAGUUCAAUUCUCCUGGGGGCUA